rnacentral:rRNA from 1 species
CCUUGUACACACCGCCCGUCAAGUCAUGGGAGCGGGGAGUACCCGAAGUCCGCUUAGCCAACUGCAAAGGGGCGGCGGCCGACGGUAAGCUCCGUGACGUGGGACU